rnacentral:rRNA from 1 species
GAUCCUGGCUCAGGAUGAACGCUAGCUACAGGCUUAACACAUGCAAGUCGAGGGGCAUCAGUUUGGUUUGCUUGCAAACCAAAAGCUGGCGACCGGCGCACGGGUGAGUAACACGUAUCCAACCUGCCUCAUACUCGGGGAUAGCCUUUCGAAAGAAAGAUUAAUAUCGAUAGCAUAUAUUUCCCGCAUGGGUUUAUAUUAAGAAAUUCGGUAUGAGAUGGGGAUGCGUUCCAUUAGUUUGUUGGGGGGG